ACACCUUCAAGCCCUGCUUGGUGUUGGGUGCCUGUCCCGCCCCGCGCGCGGACUCACCUCAAAUCCAUUGGCGGCCCCCACGUCGGCUCCGAGCGCAGCAGAAACGCGAACUCGUGGGCCCGGCGGGGUGGCUCCCAGAAGCACAUCCACC
rnacentral:misc_RNA from 1 species